GUGAGGAAUAUUGGUCAAUGGACGGAAGUCUGAACCAGCCAAGUAGCGUGCAGGAUGACGGCCCUAUGGGUUGUAAACUGCUUUUAUAUAGGGAUAAAGUCGGGGACGUGUCCCCGUUUGUAGGUACUAUAUGAAUAAGGACCGGCUAAUUCCGUGCCAGCAGCCGCGGUAAUACGGAAGGUCCAGGCGUUAUCCGGAUUUAUUGGGUUUAAAGGGAGCGCAGGCUGAUGAUUAAGCGUGACGUGAAAUGUAGCCGCUCAACGGCUGAACUGCGUCGCGAACUGGUUAUCUUGAGUGAGUUCGAUGUUGGCGGAAUUCGUGGUGUAGCGGUGAAAUGCUUAGAUAUCACGAAGAACUCCGAUUGCGAAGGCAGCCAACAAGGCCUUUACUGACGCUAAAGCUCGAAGGUGCGGGUAUCGAACAGG
rnacentral:rRNA from 1 species